rnacentral:lncRNA from 1 species
GUGGAACGAUGGCAAAGCGUCACUUGCUCAUGCGAGCGGAGAAGAACGUGCUCUCAAUGAACUGACGCAGCAUUACCAGUGUAAACAUACGCAGGCAAAGCGUGGCCUUUGAAAUACGGAAUACCACGAGCAAAAUUUGAACGUCGUUGCCAGUUAAUCUUUGUCUAGGAGGCGCGCCCUGCCUCUGCUGCCUUGUUGUAUCCGGCAACGGAUUUAUAAGCUAACAUUAUUAGGUUUUCAAGAUGAUCAUGAAAUUGAAGCUGUUACUAAUGUGUAGUAGAGUAGGGCGCAAUGCUGUUUAGGUAGUCUACGAGUAGUAGAAAGGUGUAUCUUGUAGCCAAAACAGUAAGCCAAUGUUUUAGUUGAACGCAGUCAACGUAAUCAUCAGAACUUUGUGCUCCCAUUUACCUGAGCUUCAGACUGAGUGCUGCAUACAAUUUACGAACGAACGCCGACGGGGGCAUAUUUAGAAGCAGAACAGGAAGAAAAAUUUUAUUAUCGAAGCAAUCAAGAGGUGAGCGAAAGCGUUUCAACAAGCAAGUAACCGUUCUCCCCGGUGCACGCGAUGCUGGCCAAUCUUUUCGCUAGCCUAUCGCCAGUUGUCUUCAGUAGCGUGGCGCCAACAUCAACGCUGCGGAGAAACGUUCGACUGUUGUAAUCUGCUACGGUGACGCUAGUAUAGAUAUUUACGUUUACCGACCUGAACGAGACGAAAAGAAGACUGCCACUCAUCAAAACGUAAUGUAAAAGCGUUUGCUGCAGAAAUAAUAGCAACUGCUAUCGAACGGUCAGAUGAUUGUGGGUUCAUCAUCAGCACUUGGUUCAUGGCCACUUCGGUUGGCUUAUGCGUACGGCGACUAGGAAACUAGGAAGCUUUCGAGAGUACUGAAUAAUUAUAGGUUUAUGUUUAUCUUCCUCAAGUCAUCCAUUUGGUCGCCUGUCACGCUGUGGCGUGCGUGGCAGCUGCAAUUAAGCCAUCUCUUUCUAUAUCGUCAGCGUUCAGCGUCUAUUUGUUCUCAAGUCGAUCCAACGAGCUGCUCUUUUCUUACCUAGAUUAAAUCUUCUGCUGUUCUAAGCAGAGUCACGAAACGAUACAUAUCCUGCGUGCUUCGAAACAGGCGGCAUUCUGCUUGUAAAAGUGCCAUUGAUAUAAUGGUGUAGCAUAGGCACGCUAGAAUAAAACCCGUCUGCUGACACAACAAUUUAACUCAGGUUUUUGAAAGGCUAGCAAAGUUUUGCGCUUUUCUGAACGUAUAUUAAAUAACAUUAGCAAUAAUAAUAAUAAUAAACCGGUAUCUUUUUCAGCUCACGUAAUCCGUUGCACGUCCCUUGUUCAGCUCGAGGCUAUGUCGAUUCUACUGUGACUAUCCAUCUUAUUUAAGUAACAAACGAAGAUUUAUUGUGCGAGUAAUCUGACCACCGCGUGUACAGGCGUCGUUCUAGAUCCAUACAAUGCCAGCGCAUGUGAAUUCAAGCAUUAGACAUGCAGAUAUGCCUAACGAUAUGUAGCCGUUUAGCAAAAAGAAACAACACAUGGGAAACAUGUACGCGAUACGCAGUUCUACCCAACACCAUAAAAACAGAACGACAAACAGGAGCACCACAUCGUAGGCUUCGAUUUGGCGUCAACUAUAAAUAACCGGCGUUACUAUUUUUGUUCAUGAUAAAAGCCACUCCCUCAAACUCGGAACUCUAGCAGCUGGGUCACAAAGGCAGCUUUAAGCGUAAAACCAGUAGAAAGCACCGGAUUCAGCCAGUCUAUUUUUGUUAGCUUCCGUAGAGGCAUCAUACAGCAGUCCCUGGUCAGAAACGAGGCAGUUUCUGGUUGAACUUAUCUUUUCUAUCAAACGUUGCUUCCGUAUGUAUUUUUUUGCAGACCAAACAUACUUAUUUGUGUUAUCAAAUUCACUAUGCGAAGACGGUUAGCAAAUAUUGCCAACUAAUACCUUGACUUGUUACGCAUACACCACAGGAGACGAACCGCUAUUGGCAAUUUACAGAUACACUUAUGGAGAAAUUACGAGAGAUCCGCGUGCGUAUCAUGCCGACUACAGGCGAUAAACGAAGACGCUCUACCGUUCUUACCGAGCUGAUGUAAGCUUAUUAAUAGUAGUAUAAAAAUGAGGUCAGCUUCGGAGAAAAUUGGAUUUCAACUCUCCUCAGACGUGAGUUGGAGAUGCGGACAGAUUCGCAUGGUCACGUAACGGUUUGUUAAUCUGAUGGGUCAUACCUCAGUGGCUAAUAAAUUAUAUACAAGAGAAGCAAGCUCGUAAGAAAAGUCACAGAGCUAGCGAUCUAAACCAAUACUUUACCAGUUUCUGAGGGGCACAUCUGGAGGUUGCGUGUUAAAGUUCUACAGCGGUGACGACAUGACCUCUAACUAGUUGAAGUUUUGUUAGCUAACUUGAAGUUGUGUAAAUUCUCGAAUUCGAAUAAAUGCAUCUGUUUCGUGCUGCUGAAUAUCAGAAUAUUUUGUAAUAGUGCUAAUGCAGGUGUUGAACUGUAAAGCUUGGAGGGACCGCGGGAAAGAUUCGAGCGAUGUCCAGAGUAAGCCAAGUCUCUGAAGCAAUAUCGAAGGACAACUCAAAGAUCUGUCUGCGAAAUAAAAAAGGAUUAAUAAAAAUUGUGGAGUCUUCAUAGCGUGGCUAGCAGUACGUGGCUGAUGGCAGCUCGGUGCCUUGAUUUUGAGUCUUGCUCGUUGCAGAACAAUAGUGCAUAUAUAAAUAAUUUUUAUUUGUUAUUAUAAUAAUAAUUAUUAUUAUAUAUUGUAUUAUAAUCUUUAUCCUGCUAGACAAAGUUCCGCGUCAAGAGAGUUGAUUAAAUUUGGCGUAAUCCGAAUUAUUCUGUACUCUAAAUAUUCGCGUACUCGAUGACGUGUAGGGUCUCAUUUGAUGCUCGUAAACGGUGCAAUGAUACGUAUCGCUAAGUCAACGUUGUUUCCUUUCCUUCCGAUCUUCGAAACCUUUUCCGAUCGAAGCAUAAAACUGUUAUAUGAAAAAAUUAAUUUUUAACUACUUUACUUGCUUAAUUUUUCCUCAGAAUUAUAUAAAACUUUCAACUAGCUUAAUUUACAAUAACGUUUAUUCCAACUAGACAAGGAUCAUCGAUUGUUUUGCCAACGGUGGUUUUUCGCAAAUAAAAACGGUUUGACAACUGUGAAACAGUUUCGAAGCGACGCUACUACAGUUAUCAGCUAUAAUGACAAACCUUGUCACACAACGUACAUUGGUUGAGGGUGCUGCUGGCGUGUUCCUGGACGUGUCCACCAAUGUGAAUUAAUGAACAAAAAAUUAAGGUCACAGCAAACUGCGUUAAUAGGCAUUGUAUCGGAAAUCAAUAAAAGCAUUGUACAAAACAACACUAACGGCUGUAAUGAAAUAUAUAUAUAUACGUAUAUGAAUAUAUACAGUACCCGGUUGUACGGUACACAUUCAUAAACUAAACAACUUUUCUAUAACGCAUAAGUAGUUCUAUAAGUCUAUUUCUAGAGGGCUUACGCGAUAAUACUGGCGCUUCCAACAACAGUCGUGUUAGCGCUACAGAGUCGCUUCUCAAGCUGAGUUUGGCCCUGGUAUUAGCAGCUGGCUACGACGGCUCUAAAGCGUAACUGCCUGGUGUCGUUGGAAAUAGGUCACACCGCCCGGGGCAAAUAAAAGAAGCUUGCUAGACCUACAGUUGCAACUGUUUCGUUUUACGGUUGUUAAGGAACUUGACCGCUGGGGCAUUCAGCAAGCUAACUUGUAGGAUUGUCGCUAUGAACAGAUCAUGGUAGUGGGGCACUGCGCAAAAUCUCACGAGAUUACAACAUGUGUUAUUGCCUACAAACACAGAAUUUAUUUCAGGGCAAAUAACGUUUUUAAUGAGCAUGUGCCUUCAGCAAUAUUUAAGCCGUGAUCAGCUUAGCAGUUGUUAGUAGUAGAAACAAUUCGAUAGUGUUGGCAGCUUCAAUGCAGAACCUUAUCCGUUGCCGCACAUAAUUCGUGGUAUUAUAUAAAUAGAAAAUGUUCAUAUUAUUUUAAACGUUGACGAUUUAUGAAAUCGACUUGUUACUUACCGAAAAUACGAAAACUGUGCUAUAGCCAUCCGCAUCGUGUUGUUUUGCAGUAAUAGGGAAACACCUAACAUUGGAUUUAAUUAAACCCAUGCGUGGCCAUCUUGCAAUGCGCAGUACAAUUGAACGUUAUGUCGUCAAACAUAGGUUCAAAUUUUAGGCUUACGAUGCUGCUUCGUCGAUGCCACUUUUUCUGUCAACUGAACUAGCAGGUGUUCAAUGAAUUCCGCGACAGCGAAAAAAGCAUUACUCUUAUACUAUGCGCAGAUAUUCUUGAGUAUCCGGAGCCCCUUCGGCUCUGCACUGGUGCCAACACUAACCCAAAGUAGGGCAUCAUAGAAUAGUUCCUAUAGAGACGCCAAAUACGCGUAUCUAAAGCUGAUCCUCUGACCAGCACGAGUGAAAAUUAACGGUGUCUACCUUCGGAUGUCUUUGAGAACUCGAUCUCCUACGAGCGUCAGCAGCGGGAAUGGUGUCGAGGCUCUGAAGCGGUAACUUCAACUCGGCUAAAUAGACCUAGACAUUUCCUGAACGGACCAGGGUGUCAUAACGCUGCUGUCGUUGGCACAACGAAAUUGCCCAUGGCCCUCUUAUAUUCCAGGUCUUUCUAUUUGCUACUGCGGUAAAUUUUGUUACCCCGGCUUCUAUUAUUUCCUAUAGUGUUGAGUAAUAAUGCAACAUGUGUCUUCAUUAUCAUGUCUGCUACCCGCCAAGCUUUCCAGGGGUAGAUGUUAGCGACGGCGAUUUACAGUCGGUGACGUCGAACGUGGAGGCGUCAAUUACUAUCCAACGGCUUCCCAACCGCUGCCUAAUUUCGAAACAGCCUUAACAGUGGCCUCUGGCCUAUUCCAAUAGCUUUGUGGACACAGCGGGAUUAACCGGCUGAUUAAAAAACUCCAUUAUUAAUUAUAGUUGGUAUUUGGCAUCCUCCACCGUAGGGCAGAUAAUUUAAAUAAGCAAUGCACACGUCUGCCAGCGGCAUAAAUUCGAACCCGGGGUUAAAAUUAUUGUCUCUAAGGAACUGAACAACAUAGACGGUUAAAUAGCGGGGUAGAACCCGCUGUAAAACAUACUUUGAGCAUUUCUGUACCCUUUAGUCCUAGACUCCAAGGCAGAGAACUUUGAGGUAACCUUAAAGUGUGUGCACCUUUAUAUACCUGUAUAUGUGACAAGCGGUCUUGGUACGAAAGUCACAUGGUGAAUCACGCUACGAAUUAAAUAUAGCUAUAUUGUGUUCCGAUUCGAUGCCCGUCAGCCAGCUUGUGGGCUUGCUGUACCAAAACGAAAAAAACCGCCUUUCCCACUCAUUUUUAACAGUAAUAAAUAGCAUCAUAAUUUAACCACUUGUCGAUGAGGCAGCUUUAGUUACUAUAGCUUUGCUAUUGUCUAAGUUGUACCACGGGCAACGUGAGGUCCCAAAAGAGAUUUAGGCUUACUACAAGGAUAACUGAUUUUUAAUAACAAAACGUGUAAGUUUAAAUGUACAGGCUCAUUUUCUAGCCAGCAUAUUCACGGAAGUUAAAACAUCAUCACACGAAGCGCUCUUCUAUUAUGGCUGCUAGUAUUACUGCUCAUAUUCUAUAGGUGAUGUUGUGUUUACAAAAAAGCGUCAUUAUCAAAUGUCACAGCGGGAUAGAUAUAUGUCAUUUAGCAUUAAUCAGAUACUAAUUCAAGCCAAUGUAAUACGGUUUUCAAUUCAGCUGAAUAAAUUUGUCAGCUUCGAGCAGCAGCAACGUCGAUCUGGACGUGUUCCAGCAAAUACGUUACGUUGCUUCUUCAUUUUAUAUCAGACCAUAAAAGGCUUUGUAGAAAUGAUGAUGUGUCCCGAUGCUUGCAAAAGCUGUUUCUAAGCUGUCUCAUUCAUUGCACUAUGGUUACUAAGACCAUAUGAUGUGUUUGAUUAGCACAACUUACUAUGCAUUUUAAACGUUCGCGCGCUUUCUAUCGCUGCUAUCUGUUUUCAACCUUGUGCUUUCCUUCGAACCUUUGAUAGGAUAGAAACGAGAAGGAUUUUUUUUCCUGGUAUCCUGAGCUCACAUUUGCCGCAUAACUGCCAUUCUUUGGACGGUAAUAGUCUCUUGAUAUUUAUGCUGUCCUAUUUACUUCACGUUUAAAUCACCUAACUUAGAGUGAUACAUUAGGUUCAGUGUGAAAGGUUCGCUCCGCGUUAUUCUCUCUCAAAAUAAUAUGAGACUAGAAAUAAAUCAGAAAGCGAACGACACGUUUGAACGGGCUGUAACAGUG